CAGGUGUGGCACAAGCCCGCGAGGCGACGGGGACGUGCGCGCGCGCGGCGCGCUGGGGAGGAGGAGCGGGGCCUCGCAAGGAGGGGGCUGCGCACCCCGACGCGGGGGUGGGGCGGGCAGGCCGCCGGUCGUUACCGGCCAGGGUCUACCGCAGGUCGACCCCAGACGCCCGGGGACGUGGGCCUGGUGUCCCCAGUUCACAGCCUGCUGCUCCGAGACGUUGAGCUACAGCUCCAGGGGUCACAGAGCAGACGGGCCCCCCAGUCUCCCGACCCCAGAUGAAAACUGAAGAACAGAUCACACAAGCACAGGGCAAAGCGGGGCCUCCGUGAAGUGGCCCGCGUGCUGGGAAGGAACCAGAGAAGGCUUGCAGGAAAACUGGCCUUCCCACAGCAGGGCGUGUGAAACAGAGCAGCUCCCGGG